AACGACUCUCGACAACGGAUAUCUCGGCUCUCGCAUCGAUGAAGAACGUAGCGAAAUGCGAUACUUGGUGUGAAUUGCAGAAUCCCGUGAACCAUCGAGUCUUUGAACGCAAGUUGCGCCCGAAGCCAAUAGGCUGAGGGCACGUCUGCCUGGGUGUCACAC
rnacentral:rRNA from 1 species